UACGUAGGGGGCAAGCGUUGUCCGGAUUUAUUGGGCGUAAAGAGCGUGUAGGCGGCCAGGUAGGUCUGCUGUGAAAACUCGAGGCUUAACCUCGAGCUGUCGGCGGAAACCAUCUGGCUAGAGUCCGGAAGAGGAGAAUGGAAUUCCCGGUGUAGCGGUGAAAUGCGCAGAUAUCGGGAAGAACACCCGUGGCGAAGGCGGUUCUCUGGGCCUGUCCUGACGCUGAGGCGCGAAAGCUAGGGGAGCGAACAGG
rnacentral:rRNA from 1 species